GUGAGGAAUAUUGCUCAAUGGGCGAAAGCCUGAAGCAGCGACGCCGCGUGAGGGACGAAAUCCUUUCGGAUGUAAACCUCUUUUGCGGGGGAAGAAUAUCCCGAUUUUCGGGACUGACGGUACCCCGUGAAUAAGCACCGGCCAACUACGUGCCAGCAGCCGCGGUAAUACGUAGGGUGCAAGCGUUGUCCGGAAUUACUGGGUGUAAAGGGUCCGCAGGCGGGCAAGCAAGUCGGUGGUGAAAUCCCUCCGCUUAACGGAGGAACUGCCUUCGAUACUGCUUGUCUUGAGUGCGAGAGAGGAUGAUGGAAUUCAUGGUGUAGCGGUGAAAUGCGUAGAGAUCAUGAAGAACACCGGUUGCGAAGGCGAUCAUCUGGCUCGUUACUGACGCUCAGGGACGAAAGCGUGGGGAGCAAACAGGAUUAGAUACCCGUGUAGUCC
rnacentral:rRNA from 1 species